rnacentral:rRNA from 1 species
UACGUAGGGUGCAAGCGUUGUCCGGAAUUAUUGGGCGUAAAGAGCUUGUAGGCGGUUUGUCGCGUCUGCUGUGAAAUUUCGGGGCUCAACCCCGAACUUGCAGUGGGUACGGGCAGACUAGAGUGUGGUAGGGGAGACUGGAAUUCCUGGUGUAGCGGUGGAAUGCGCAGAUAUCAGGAGGAACACCGGUGGCGAAGGCGGGUCUCUGGGCAGUAACUGACGCUGAGGAGCGAAAGCGUGGGGAGCGAACAGG